UGCUGGCUCCGGUCAGUAUUUCUGUUGGAAAUUUGAAAGGGCGUACGGACAUUGAACUAUUACAAAAAAUCUAAUCCUUUGACCCCCAAUUUUCUCCAUUGCUGUUUAGUACUUGAUUUGCGAGGUGACCAGUUUCCAGACAUUGGUUCGCUCCUGCUUGUGUACGCGAUUGGCCGAGACUAAAAAAACUGUAGUGUGCCACCUUAAGGUUUUAGUCGUUUGCUUGUAAGGCAAGAUAGUCCCUGGAGAAGAACUAAAAUACGUCAACAGCCUUGUCAGCGGAAAGACACUCCGUUGCAGUUACUGAAGGUUUUAGUCGUUUGCUUGUAAGGCAAGAUAGUCCCUGGAGAAGAACUAAAAUACGUCAACAGCCUUGUCAGCGGAAAGACACUCCGUUGCAGUUACUGAAGAUUUGCGAGGUGACCAGUUUCCAGACAUUGGUUCGCUCCUGCUUGUGUACGCGAUUGGCCGAGACUAAAAAAACUGUAGUGUGCCACUUAUAUA